CUGAAUUUGAUGAGAGAGGCCCAAAAUAAAAAUAUAUCCUCCCUCUCAUCGGCUCUACCCCUCUCUUUCCCCAAAUUCCAUUUUCUCAAAUCCCUAAUCUCCCUCUUCUCCACAACCGACAACCCUUCCUCUCCCGACCGGCGGUUCAUCAUUCGUGGUGGAUUUCUCCUUCCUCUUCUCAGCUUUUCUCCACUCCCUUGCUCGUUGAGACCAAAUCCUAAUUGGAAAUGGUUCACGAUCAAUGGGAAAAGGCAGCGACAUCCGCCUAUUGUCGCUCUCUUUCCAUCGCUUCCCGGUUCGCGGCGUACCCGCCGGCCGCCUCCUUCUGUCACUCCACGGCGACCCGGCGCCGUCGACCCUGGCCCUCUCGUCGGUUUGGCUCGAAGUUAGCGAGCUGCUGCUGCCUUUCUCUCGCGGUGGCGAAAACGCCUCAGGCGCUGCUCACGCCGUUCCGCUUCUGGUUGGGCAGCGACACCGCUCUUCGUUGCUGCUCACGCCUCCGUCGAGUCCCUUCACCUGACGAAGUCGCCGCCGGGAACAGUCGGUCCGCUCCCUUAAUUGUAACGGACAACCUCACGGUCUAAGCUAAGUUCUCCUUCUUCUAGUACUUAACUUAAUCGGUUUGAAAUUUCGGCAGCAAAGUGCGAUUUAAGAGUAUUGACUAUGGUUGUUGAUCGAGCUUUGAUCUUGUGAAAUUCUGCCUACUGGAACGAGUUUAAGUUGCUUGUUUCUGAUUUUGAACUAAGAGCAGCUUAUGAUUCUUUUGAUUCCUAACAUGAUGUGCCUCUUUUGAGUAUUUAAUGGUGAGGGUAACGAUGCUCUCUCUUAGUCUAACAUACUGUGAUUUCCUAUCAUGUUAUGUUUCUACAUGUUAACAUGAUUCAUGAUUGAGUUGGAGACAAGGAAGAAGGGGGUGGAGAUUACCUUCCUGCGUUGCUCUGUUUUCCUGUCUCUAACUCAGCCCCUCUCUCACUCCUUAGCUCACCGAUUUGAAUGGUUUGUGGUGAUGAAGGAGGGUGAGGCUGAGGCUAUACUCUAUAUAUAAUGGUGUGUAACUGAAAGCCCGUAAGGUUGUGUAUGUAUGCAGUCGAGCGGGACCCUUAGGUUGUGCAAACCUGGCUGGCCUUCCUGCAGCUUUGCAGGCUGUGUACUCGUGGGAAUUCUGUUUUGGCCGCUGCACUAUGCAGUCCCUUUAACUGCAUUUAACACUUGUAAAUGCUUGAUACUUUGUUCAUUUAUAGGAUUUGUCUCCUGUGGCAGGUGCACAACUGAAUGGCAGGGGUUUGUAAGCAAUAUUCUCGGCAAUGGCAGCUGUGAGGUGGAGGUGCAGGGAGUCUGUUGCUGCCGGCUGGCCUUGUUCUUCUUUUAGCCAAGCUCUUCAUUUUCCUUUGUGAAAGGGACAAGAGGUUGGUCUCCUCAUCUUGCGGCCACCUCGCCCGUUCGGCCCAACGGGCCGUCAAAGAAUCUGGCCGAACCCGUGCUAAGGAGGGGCCCAGAGCUAGUUUUUCUUUCCUCCAUAAUGUAACAGAGUUGUUCUAUUGUAAUUUCUUCUUCAACAUGUAAUAGCUAGUUAGUGUGUAUCUCGUUUACUCAAGAAAUAAACGAAAACUCUCUCGUCUUUCCUCUUUAAA